GCCCUCUUAGCUCAGUGGUAGAGCGCAUCACUCGUAUCUGCAGGUAGAGAAUCCCUGAUUCCGAUGAUGAGGUCCAUUGUUCAAUCCAGUGAGGGGGCA